UGAGGGUCCUCACCGCCCCCCAGGCUGCAGUGGACUUGCGCCUCACUCUGCCCAGGUCCUGCCCCAAAACCAGUGCAGGCAAGCCUCCUGGGGUCUGGGGCCACAGCCCACUCCUUCGGCCCCUGGGCAUCAGUGGCAUCUCCCUCUGGGACCACAGGGAACAGUAUGAGGUGGCUUCCGCCAUCCCCAUUUGGUAGUCAGCUGAGUCUUCAAUGGUUUAAAAGUCAUCUGCUGCAGGUCACCCAGUGAGGGGCAGAGGCAGGCUUGGAGCCUGAGCCUCUCCAAAUGAAAAGCCCUGUUGUCACUACUCUGCUCUCUGUUCCCAUUGGGGCAGGGUGGGGGGCACUGCAGAUCUCCUGGGACAUUUCAUGAAACUUGGGGGUCCUUAGUUGCUUCCCUAUGGGUCCACAAAACAUUGCUUAGCCUAUCUUCCUUUAGCUCCCCAGCCCUGAGGAGCCCACUCUAGAUUGUUCUCCACAUAGAAGCCACUCUCUGCCGGCCCCACACAUCUGUGAAUCCAUCAGGCAUCAUCCCCAAAGCCGCCAGUGUCCAACUGCCCCGUGAAUGGAGGGCAUGGUCUUCAAAGCCUCCGCAUCCUCCCCAUUAUGAACCUGUUGCUUCCUAUUUCAGAUCAGAACCAGUCCUCUUGUCAUAUUUGAAUUUCAAAUGUCCACCCACCUUCUCAGCUUGUCUGCCACUGUCGUCUAAGAAUCCAGGUCAAUCAAUUGUGAGGAAAAUGUAGCUAGGACACAGCAGGAAGAAAGUGAACAAGACUGUUUCACUUACACCCAAAACUCCAUGAGCCAAGGCCUUGUGCCACCUGACCCCAGUUCUGUGACCCAGUCCCGACUUCUGGUGGCAUCUUCUAUUAACAGACUGACUUUCUUGAUCAAGAAAAAGCUUACUGUGUUGAGACAGUGACUGUGGAGAAGGACCACCUUACAUGACACCCAGGCUCUUCUCUGAAAUAUAUUGAGCCCGAGGGCCAGCAGGACCACACAAAAUAGGAAUCAGCACUUCACCAGCAGCCCGUCAGGAGAGACGGUUCACCCACCCACAUGCUGGUGGCAGCAGAGGAGAGCACAGAACACGUGGUCUGAGGAGUGGGAGAGCCGGGAUGAAUUCU